UUUGCACAGACAUAAGGGCCACAGAGUAUCAUCAAAGAGCCACAAUGAAGUUAUAUGACCGGCCCAUUUAUGCUUCUUAAGCAUCAUUCUGCUUUUGCCCCACCAGAAAGGGACAAGUCCAAAUGAUCUCAAUAUGACAAAAUGCUGAAAGGGAGCGGCAAUAGGGAUCCAACCUUGAAUAAAAUGUGGCCAAGGCAGUCAGUGGGAGCGGGAUAAACGGACGCGCCAAGGAGCUGUGAAGAAGGCCCGGCAAAGUGGUUCUUCCUCUCUGGAAGGAUGUCAGCACUCUGUGCCUGGCCAUCCCUGAGGACGCUUGAUGUCAUCUUGUCUACCUGAUCAUUACACUACCUGCUCUCCUCUACAAUGCUGGCCUCUCUCUGCUCCACCACUUGAAAUGCUUGGCUGGCCUCUUCUCUGAAACCAUCAUGAAAUUGUGUGCUAAAACGCUGCAGACUGUUCCUCCUCUCUCCUCCCUCCAGCCAAGUGUGCAGGAGCCAGAAAAAGAUUCCUCCACUCGGACGACUGCUGCCCAGUCAAAGGGAAAAUGCACAAAACAUCCUUCAGCCGCCUGCCACCGCUCACAGCUCUUAUUUGAGUUAUUGAUGUUGGUAGCAUAUGGCAUUUUACAGCAAUGUUAUUAUAUUCAAUGGACACAUAGCAAGUUGUUUAAAAAAGAGGUGCUUUUGCAGUGUCACAGUAGGAAAAGCGCAGGUGAAAAUAAUAAAAUGAAUGAUGGCUGAAUUGCAAUUGGCUGCUUCAGACUGUCACACUGUCAUUGUUAAUAUUAUUAGUAACAGAUGUGCUUUUCCUCCUAUGAUAAGUGAAAUGGUCUGCUAUGAAAUGUACAAUAGACUGCAGUGGACAAUGCCAAUACUUGAAAGCAGAAGUCACUGCAAAAAUGCACCAAGAACACUGAUAAUGCAAUCAAAAUAUUGCGUCCAUCAUCAUUCAUGAAAAUACUGAUGUAUAAACAUUUUCCUCAACUUUAACACACUGCGAAGGACUGCUUUCAUCUCAUCAAGUGUCUCUUUCAUUCAGUUUAAGCUAUGUGUGAAUGAUCCAGAUAAUAAAGCAAUAAACAACAAAUGUAAAAAUGAUGUACUCUGCAUAUUGAAAGAUAGGUUAAUAUAAGCUUUACAUAAACUUUGGAAUACAUUUUGUUUCAUGUAAGGAGGAUUUUGUCCCCCAUCACUUCCAUUGAAAGUGAAUAAGGAGAGGAUCUGUUACUGGUCAGUAUGAACAUAAUCAGAAUUAGAAUCAGAAUAUGAUUUGUUGCCAAAUAAGUGACACAAGGAAACAGUUUCAAUGUUCAUAUACACCUGACUAUUGUUUUAGAACAGACUUAACAGGUCCUAUUUUUUUUUACAUUUUUACUAGCAAUUAUUUUAAUA